rnacentral:rRNA from 1 species
GGGGCCUAUACAUGCAAGUCGAACGCACUCUCGUUUAGAUUGAAGGAGCUUGCUCCUGAUUGAUAAACAUUUGAGUGAGUGGCGGACGGGUGAGUAACACGUGGGUAACCUGCCCUAAAGUGGGGGAUAACAUUUGGAAACAGAUGCUAAUACCGCAUAAAACCUAACACCGCAUGGUGUAGGGUUGAAAGAUGGUUUCGGCUAUCACUUUAGGAUGGACCCGCGGUGCAUUAGUUAGUUGGUGAGGUAAAGGCUCACCAAGACCGUGAUGCAUAGCCGACCUGAGAGGGUAAUCGGCCACACUGGGACUGAGACACGGCCCAGACUCCUACGGGAGGCAGCAGUAGGGAAUCUUCCACAAUGGACGAAAGUCUGAUGGAGCAACGCCGCGUGAGUGAAGAAGGUUUUCGGAUCGUAAAACUCUGUUGUUGGAGAAGAAUGUAUCUGAUAGUAACUGAUCAGGUAGUGACGGUAUCCAACCAGAAAGCCACGGCUAACUACGUGCCAGCAGCCGCGGUAAUACGUAGGUGGCAAGCGUUGUCCGGAUUUAUUGGGCGUAAAGCGAGCGCAGGCGGUUUCUUAAGUCUGAUGUGAAAGCCUUCGGCUCAACCGAAGAAGUGCAUCGGAAACUGGGAAACUUGAGUGCAGAAGAGGACAGUGGAACUCCAUGUGUAGCGGUGAAAUGCGUAGAUAUAUGGAAGAACACCAGUGGCGAAGGCGGCUGUCUGGUCUGUAACUGACGCUGAGGCUCGAAAGCAUGGGUAGCAAACAGGAUUAGAUACCCUGGUAGUCCAUGCCGUAAACGAUGAGUGCUAGGUGUUGGAGGGUUUCCGCCCUUCAGUGCCGCAGCUAACGCAUUAAGCACUCCGCCUGGGGAGUACGACCGCAAGGUUGAAACUCAAAGGAAUUGACGGGGGCCCGCACAAGCGGUGGAGCAUGUGGUUUAAUUCGAAGCAACGCGAAGAACCUUACCAGGUCUUGACAUCCUUUGACCACUCUAGAGAUAGAGCUUUCCCUUCGGGGACAAAGUGACAGGUGGUGCAUGGUUGUCGUCAGCUCCGGGUCGUGGGAU